AACACUUUUUUUUCCAGACAUCUGCAAUCAUGUUCUGACACUGAGAAUCACCACCCAUGCAUUAAAUAUUCCAUUAAAACCAAUCCAGUGAUGUCUGCAUCAUCAGUUCACUUUUCAGCUCUGCUGUGCAAGGCUACAAAUGAAUGGAAAGGGACUUCCCAUCCCCAUAUUAAGAGAUGUGCAACUUCCAGAUGCAAAAGGGAGACACCAUGUCCUAUAUAUUUUAAGUGUUCAUAGCACUGUUCCAACAUUGUUUCAUCCACUGGACUUCAUCCAGGAUGAUGCUGCAGACAGAAUGCUCUUAUCUUGAACUCCAGGAUCAAGGGGAAUGCUUCAUCCAGUUUCUCUGGCUGGAGAGAAGAACACCCACCAUGACAACACUUUUUGCCAGAGGACUGUGUUUAGAGCUAUUUUCAGAUACAGCUUUUGUCAAACUGUUCUUUUAUGUCUUUAAAUCGCCCAUGCCCAAAAAUCAUAAGAAAAAUAAAAGCAGUUAUGUGCAAA